CUCUAAAACAGUAAAACAAGAUAUUUGUAUCUACGUUGGACAUUCUCGUUUUGAAACAAAGCAAUUUUAACUCUUUCAAUUUGUCUUUUAGUUUGGAAUGGGGAAUACUGGUGUAAAAAGUCGUGGGGGAAUGUUAAGUUUCCCAGCAAGUUGAGUUAUUUUGGUCGUACGCCAAUUUGGAUGUUUGGGUCUUAUACUCCCCGGCUUUUAAAAUGUUUUUGCGUGAGGAUUCAUGAUGAAACUGAAUCCCGAUCAAAACGCGUCGAACACAACGAGAGCGGAAAGCCAGUAACAAAAAUCAACGGCC
rnacentral:lncRNA from 1 species